AUCUAUUAGUCACAUGAUCAUAAGGGGUCCGGGUAUUGAGACGGGUAACCGGGUCCAACUCAUUACCCAACCGUCCCGGGUAUCCGAGUUACCCCUCCCAGCCCUAGUGGACAAUAUUUCAGU